UACGAAGGGGGCGAGCGUUGUUCGGAAUUACUGGGCGUAAAGGGCGCGUAGGCGGCUGUACAAGUCAAAGGUGAAAUCCCUCGGCUCAACUGAGGAACUGCCUUUGAAACUGUACGGCUUGAGGCCGGGAGGGGGUAGCGGAAUUCCCAGUGUAGCGGUGAAAUGCGUAGAUAUUGGGAGGAACACCAGUGGCGAAGGCGGCUACCUGGACCGGUUCUGACGCUGAGGCGCGAAAGCGUGGGUAGCAAACAGG
rnacentral:rRNA from 1 species